CUCCAGCAGCACCCUUUGAUCCAGCUGAUGGCGCAGAAUGAGGCCUGCAGCUGUGCUGGAAAAUGAAGAGGACCUGAGUUUGAGCCUUGGGGGAUUCCGGAUAGAUGAGAGAGACAGAAAACUGGAAGGAGAUGGAGGCCAGCCUUGAACCAUAAUGGCUCUUCAUUGGUUCAAAUGUACAAGUGACAGUGCCGCUGUUUUGGCUCUCUUGGAUGAAUGGGGAUGGGUGGUAAGCGGCAGGCGAUGGAUGGGUUGGAGAACAGAACAAGAACAGAGAUUUGCAGUGCAUUGCAAAACAGCAAAGAGCAGCAGCAGUGACACGGGGGUUAUAAAUAGAUCUCCAUAUAUAGAGCCAGAGGCUACCUGGCUGGCGGAGGCCGAGCACUCGCUACAGUAAUCACACAUGAUUUAUACCUGGUCCGGUGUGGUGCUGCGAUUCUGCACCUGAGUUCUGCCACACGUGGUGUCAAUUAUGUGAUUAAAGAUCAGACGGUGGCUGUGUUUACAUAGACGGCAGUAAUAUGACCACAGACGAUAUUUUGGAUCAGAAAAUUGCUGUAAUAAGGCAUGUGGAACAUUUUUGGAAUUGUGUCAUAUUAUUUAAGACACGUAGGCAUUUUAAUCGGGCUAUAACUCUCUGGUUUGUGAGCGACUGGCAGCAUAUGGCAGUCACUUCACGGCACAUGCUUUACAUUCCUUAUAUGCAGUCCAUAUCAGACCAGAGCAUGAGCGUAAAUGGGGAAUCUGAAUGAAACAGUUGUACAAACAACCCAUGUAAACAACUGACAACCUAUGUAAACCACUUAAUCAGUAUGUCGUCAUAUUCAGAAUAAACACAGAAUAUGUAAACA
ensembl:lncRNA